rnacentral:rRNA from 1 species
CCUACGGGUGGCAGCAGUGAGGAAUAUUGGUCAAUGGACGAGAGUCUGAACCAGCCAAGUAGCGUGAAGGAUGACUGCCCUAUGGGUUGUAAACUUCUUUUAUAUGGGAAUAAAACGUUCCACGUGUGGGCUUUUGUAUGUACCAUAUGAAUAAGGAUCGGCUAACUCCGUGCCAGCAGCCGCGGUAAUACGGAGGAUCCGAGCGUUAUCCGGAUUUAUUGGGUUUAACGGGAGCGUAGGUGGAUUGUUAAGUCAGUUGUGAAUAUUUGCGGCUCAACCGUAAAAUUGCAGUUGAAACUGGCGUUCUUGAGUGGGCGAGAAGUAUGCGGAAUGCGUGGGGUAGCGGUGAAAUGCAUAGAUAUCACGCAGAACUCCGAUUGCGAAGGCAGCAUACCGGCGCCCAACUGACGCUGAAGCACGAAAGCGUGGGUAUCGAACAGGAUUAGAUACCCGUGUAGUC